UCUCCUUGUAGCCCCAGCUGUCCUGGAACUCACUCUGUAGACCAGGCUGGCCUCGAACUCACAAGGAUCCUCCUGCCUCUGCCUCCCGAGUGCUGGGAUUAAAGGCGUGUGCCACCAUACCUG
ensembl:miRNA